UUCUUGCUGUGGCACCACAUGGCAGAAGGCAUCACAUGAACUACGAGAGCUCAUUCCUGCCUCCACUUAAUGCCAGCAAACUACCUUUGGGCAUCCCAUGGCUCUCUGUGGAUCCUGACUACUUGCUGGUGUGGUCACCUGUUCCUUGUCAACAUUGCCACAUGCCACUGGCCAUCUGGACAUCCUCCACCACCCACAGCAGGUCCACUCCACCAACCUGCCCUCCCACAGUGCCAGCCUUGACACAUGGGCACAACUUGCACCCAGCUCUUGACCAAAACCAGCUGCUCUGCCAAGACACAAAAGGGACCCCUGCCGGAGUGAGGUCAUCUCGCUCUAGGACACAGUGUCCAGCUCAGACAGAACACCACCCACCAGCUUCCUGCUGAAGCUAUUCAUUGCCCAGGCUUCCAGAGACCCAAUUCCCUGGAGUUCCAGUGCGGGGGCGAACCCGGCAGCAGAAAGAAAAGACUCUGUGACCCGUGCCUAAAAAUAAAAAUAUUAUUCAAUUUCAUGUCUGACAGACUGAAUGUCUGACGCAGAAAGCAAACCCAUGGCAACCGGA
rnacentral:lncRNA from 10 species